UAAAAAGUCCGCUAUCUGGUAGCGUAUUUCGCAAGCGACUCAAUCUCUACAUAAAUCCAUUCUCGCCCGAACUUCACUCUCUCAAUCUCAGGCUCACCUUUCGUUUAUGGUUGUAUCAUUUCCCCAGAUUAUAAAAGUCAUGGACAAGAAAUGUAUUUGACCGGAGGAGAGUACUUUGUAAAAUUGCUUUGGUUAAUUAAAUGGCACAACGCAAUGCUUCUGGUAUGGCAUUGAAAUUGCUUUGCCGACCGAAAAGUGAAUGACUGAAGAUGCGGUCAAAUGAGAAAUCUCAAUGCUUGUACAUGAUCACAUAGCUAGGCGAGUCAGUGACUCCAGACGGUGAGACAUGGCAUGACACUUGGGCGGUGGAGGUCAAAUCAAAGAUUGAGUUGGUGGCUAAUAAGAAAACUUCAUUGUAGAGCCAAUGAACUUCUGACGCGCAGCAAGCGACGCAUCAUGGUAUGGAAUUUAAUGUACCUUAUUAACAGAAUCAUAAGUAAGAGAAAAAAAGCUAUCUUCAUCGUCUGUAAAUAGCGAUGAAAUCGUCAUGCAAGGAAGAAUGUGCCAAGAGAAGAAUCAAGAGUACAAAUUCUGUCAAAAUGAGCCCUUUCUCUUACAUCCAUUCAAAAACCUUAGUGAAAGCUUUGGUUUCCUGUGGGAGUAGAAGAGGAACUCCAUCUUUCCAUACCUACAGUAAAAUAGUCAUUGCAGAAGUCGAGGGAAACAAGAAAUUGUGCACCACAGCUUGACUCCCUUUCUUUAUUCUUUAUCUUAAAGCGUAUUUGUAUUGUUUAACAUUGCAAAGAAUCAUUUCUUUAAUGAAUACAUAUUUAGUCUGACUUUCA